AUUGAACGCUGGCGGCAGGCCUAACACAUGCAAGUCGAGCGGAAACGAGUUAUCUGAACCUUCGGGAACGGAUAACGGCGUCGAGCGGCGGACGGGUGAGUAAUGCCUAGGAAAUUAGCCCUGAUGUGGGGGAGUAACCAUUGGAACGAUGGCUAAUACCGCAUAAUGCCUACGGGCCAAAGAAGGGGGACCGUUCGGGCCGUCUCGCGUCAGGAUAUGCCUAGGUGGGAUUAGCUAGUUGGUGAGGUAAUGGCUCACCAAGGCGACGAUCCCUAGCUGGUCUGAGAGGAUGAUCAGCCACACUGGGAACUGAGACACGGUCCAGACUCCUACGGGAGGCAGCAGUGGGGAAUAUUGCACAAUGGGCGCAAGCCUGAUGCAGCCAUGCCGCGUGUGUGAAGAAGGCCUUCGGGUUGUAAAGCACUUUCAGUCGUGAGGAGGUAGUGUAGUUAAUAGCUGCAUUA
rnacentral:rRNA from 1 species